rnacentral:rRNA from 1 species
AGGAAUAUUGGUCAAUGGACGAGAGUCUGAACCAGCCAAGUAGCGUGAAGGAUGACUGCCCUAUGGGUUGUAAACUUCUUUUAUACGGGAAUAAAGUGAGGCACGUGUGCCUUUUUGUAUGUACCGUAUGAAUAAGGAUCGGCUAACUCCGUGCCAGCAGCCGCGGUAAUACGGAGGAUCCGAGCGUUAUCCGGAUUUAUUGGGUUUAAAGGGAGCGUAGGCGGACGCUUAAGUCAGUUGUGAAAGUUUGCGGCUCAACCGUAAAAUUGCAAUUGAUACUGGGUGUCUUGAGUACAGUAGAGGCAGGCGGAAUUCGUGGUGUAGCGGUGAAAUGCUUAGAUAUCACGAAGAACUCCGAUUGCGAAGGCAGCUUGCUGGACUGUAACUGACGCUGAUGCUCGAAAGUGUGGGUAUCAAACAGGAUUAGAUACCCUGGUAGUCCACACAGUAAACGAUGAAUACUCGCUGUUUGCGAUAUACAGUAAGCGGCCAAGCGAAAACGUUAAGUAUUCCACCUGGGGAGUACGCCGGCAACGGUGAAACUCAAAGGAAUUGACGGGGGCCCGCACAAGCGGAGGAACAUGUGGUUUAAUUCGAUGAUACGCGAGGAACCUUACCCGGGCUUGAAUUGCAACCGAAUGAUGUGGAGACAUGUCAGCCGCAAGGCAGUUGUGAAGGUGCUGCAUGGUUGUCGUCAGCUCGUGCCGUGAGGUGUCGGCUUAAGUGCCAUAACGAGCGCAACCCUUAUCGAUAGUUACCAUCAGGUUAUGCUGGGGACUCUGUCGAGACUGCCGUCGUAAGAUGUGAGGAAGGUGGGGAUGACGUCAAAUCAGCACGGCCCUUACGUCCGGGGCUACACACGUGUUACAAUGGGGGGUACAGAAGGCAGCUACACGGCGACGUGAUGCUAAUCCCUAAAGCCUCUCUCAGUUCGGAUUGGAGUCUGCAACCCGACUCCAUGAAGCUGGAUUCGCUAGUAAUCGCGCAUCAGCCACGGCGCGGUGAAUACGUUCCCG